rnacentral:lncRNA from 1 species
AAAUACAUGGAAUACAACGUAAUACAUUAAAUUACAAUUAAAAAAGCGACAACGAAUAAGAUAAAAUACAUGAAAAUACAGUGUGAUACAUUAAAAUAUAUUAACAGAAAUUCAAGUUGCUCAGCCCCAAACUCCGUCGUCUUUGUUAACCCUAAUUUUCGAUGAAUCCGCAGUCGAGCAAAAACCCUGAAUCUCACUGUUCCCACGCAUCAUGUACAGUAGCCGAGCAAAAUCAUGGCAAGACGUUGCGCAUUAUUUUCGUGGAUUCGUCUCUCUAUUCGAGCCAUUCUACAUUUAUUAAGUGGUGGCGAAAAGCAGUUGAAGGCGGCGUCGACUAUAAUAAGUGGACGAUGACAAACGUAAGAAGUGGAUCUGGGAUGAGAAUGUGUUCGUGACGAAUUGCAAUAGAGAGAAAUACUAAUAGCAACGUUCUGGAUGGUUUUGAAAAAGAAUGGAUCUAGAAGUCGAACUUAAAAUUACAACCAAGUAUAAAAAUGGGGAGUUAGAGGAAUUUGAUGGGAAGUUAAAGAAGAGACUUUGG